rnacentral:lncRNA from 1 species
CAACAGGAAUUUGUAUGGACCAAAUCUAACCCUCACCGAUUUCCUAACCGGUUUGAAAGAUAUCGCAUUUUUCCAUGCAAAUUCCAAUAACUUCACUGGCUCCAUCCCCGAAGAUAUCGGCACACUCCGCUACUUAUACGAGCUCGACCUCAGUAACAACAAAUUCUCCGGCAACUUCCCCUACCAAGUCCUCCGUGCCAAGAAGUUAGUAUUCCUCGACCUCAGGUUCAACACCUUUUCCGGCGUAGUACAUCCAGAUGUCUUCCUUCUCGACCUCGACUUGCUAUUCAUCAACAACAACAAUUUCAAGCAAACACUCCCAGAAUGCCUUGGCUCAACCACUGCGCUUUAUUUAACCCUAGCUAACAA